GGACUAUAACAAAUUUCAAUUGAGUUGUCAACAAGCUAAAGAUAUUGUUAUCUCAUUGUCCUUCCUGUCAACAAGUUAAUUCUACUCCGACGUUGCCUGAAGGUGUUAACCCACAGGGAUUAUUUCCCAACGAUAUUUGGCAAACUGAUGUAGCACACAUUCCAACAUCUGGCAAUGCUGGACUAGUCCAUGGGUCUAUUGACACUUAUUUUGGAAUAUUUGCAUCACAUCAUACAGGAGAAACUGCAAAUCAGUGGGUCUCUCACUUCAAACAAGCUUUGCUUACAUGAGACUCCCUAAACAUAAAAAACCUGACAAUGGACCAGCUUGUACAAGUGAAAGUGAAGUCGCUCAGUCAUGUCCGACUCUUUGCAACACCAUGGACUGUAGCCCACCAGGCUGUGGGGCCCUAAAUGGGAAACCUUGAAAAAGAAAGGCUAGCUUUGCGGUUUAGAGCUAAGAUGGCGCCUGGCGGAAGAGAUGAGGGCGCGGCCUAAGUUAUUUGUUAAAACGUUUGAUUGGCUCUCUUGAGUUCCCUGCACGUGGACAGCAUGUGAUCACCAUAGACUCUUGUUACAAUGAAGCGCAUGACGACCUUUAAUGUGAUUGGUGCAACUAUGGUAUAUUAAGAUUUGACAUUUAACGUGAUUGGUCCAACCCUCGAAAAACCCCCUUGCUUGCCUAUAUAAACCAAGAGUUUGUGGCAACAAAGCGGAACUGCUUAGAUGGAACCCCUGUUGCCUCUGAUUGUCUCUCGCUUGGGGAGGGGCUGGGUUGGUGCACAGCAGGCUCACCUCUCCUCAGGACCCCUUGGCUUGUGCUGAGGGAAGUUCCACUGCCUCUGUCUUUCUGCGGAGCGCCCCCCUGCACCAGGCUACAUGGGAUUCUUCAGGCAAGAAUAUUGGAGUGGGUUGCCAUUUCCUUCUCCAGGGGAUCUUCCCAACCCAGGGAUCAAACCCAGAUCUCCCACAUUAUAGGCAGAUACUUUAACCUCUGAGCCACCAGGGAAGCCCUAGCUUGUACAAGUCACACGUUGAAAUUAUUUUUUGAAGACCGGUCUAUUAAACACAUCACUGGAAUUCCAUAUAAGCCACCAGGACAAGCUAUAGUUGAAUGAGUCCACUGAACAUUAAAAAACACUUUACAAAAACUAAAAGGGAGAGAAAGGUAUGGAAUAGGACCUAAUUCCUCAAAAGAUAAAUUAGCAAUAGCUCUUUUUAUUUUAAAUUUUUUGGAUAUUAGAGGGGACAAUACAGAACCAGCAGCUACAAUAUAUUGGACAAAUAAUCAAACUGCUAAUGAUUUGCUUUCUAAAAAAGAAACCUUACAACAAACUCAACAAGUCUUAUGGAAAAAAAAUGAGAGUUGGAAAAGGCAAUUUUACUUAAACAAGGACGAGGUUAUGCUCUUAUUUUAACAGAAGAAGUUGAACAUCAGUGGAUCCCAAAAUGAAAAAUCUGGCCCUGGAAGGAAAAGGACCUACUUCGAUAUAGACCCACUGUUUGAACCCCCACUUGGAGCCAUGUCACUGCUGAUCCUUAAUCCUGCACUAUCUCUAUCAAAAAUAACCCAAGAAGCAUCUUUGCCAACUUGGGGACAGAUAGAGAAACUGUCUCUGGAGGCAGAGAAGAUGGUACACAGAAGAAGACUGCCAGAAACACCAGACAACCAGUUCUUGGCUAUGGUCACUUUGCUGACCAUGGUGUCUGGAGAAGAACAAUCAAGAGACAAUGAAACCAACAACAGCAACUAGUGUUUCUCACCAUUUUUCAUCUUGUGGAAAAUCAAAAAGGGGGAGAUGUAGGAGACAGAAAGAAUCGAAGAAAAGCAGACCCCGGCAAGGGCCACAGAAGCAAUUUAUAAUUAUUGAUAAACUGGAUGCUUUAAGCCAUGGGACUCUUGGAACAAGUCCAGAGGAAACAGUUCAUAAUCUUGAAAACAAGAUA
ensembl:lncRNA